CGCUGAACUUAAGCAUAUCAAUAAGCGGAGGAAAAGACACAGGGAUUGCCCUAGUAAUGGCGAGUGAAGCGGCAACAGCUCAAAUUUGAAAUCUGGCCCUUUCAGGGUCCGAGUUGUAAUUUGUAGAGGGUGCUUUGGUGUUGGCCGCAGUCUAAGUUCCUUGGAACAGGACGUCACAGAGGGUGAGAAUCCCGUACGUGGCUGAUGGUCUUCGCCGUGUAAAGCCCCUUCGACGAGUCGAGUUGUUUGGGAAUGCAGCUCUAAAUGGGAGGUAAAUUUCUUCUAAAGCUAAAUAUUGGCCAGAGACCGAUAGCGCACAAGUAGAGUGAUCGAAAGAUGAAAAGCACUUUGGAAAGAGAGUCAAAAAGCACGUGAAAUUGUUGAAAGGGAAGCGCUUGCGAUCAGACUUGCUCGUAGUUGCUCAUCUAGGCUCUUGCCUGGUGCACUCUUCUGCGGGCAGGCCAGCAUCAGUUCGGGCGGCUGGAUAAAGGCCUCUAUCACGUAUCUUCCUUCGGGAUGACCUUAUAGGGGAGGCGUAAUGCAGCCAGCUCGGAUUGAGGUCCGCGCAUCUGCUAGGAUGCUGGCGUAAUGAUCGUAAGCGGCCCGUCUUGAAACACGGACCAAGGAGUCUAACAUCUAUGCGAGUGUUUGGGUGUCAAGCCCGGGCGCGCAAUGAAAGUGAACGGAGGUGGGAACCCUCACGGGUGCACCAUCGACCGAUCCUGAUGUCUUCGGAUGGAUUUGAGUAAGAGCAUAGCUGUUGGGACCCGAAAGAUGGUGAACUAUGCCUGAAUAGGGUGAAGCCAGAGGAAACUCUGGUGGAGGCUCGCAGCGGUUCUGACGUGCAAAUCGAUCGUCAAAUUUGGGCAUAGGGGCGAAAGACUAAUC
rnacentral:rRNA from 1 species